UACGAACGCUGGCGGCGUGCCUAAUACAUGCAAGUCGAACGCUUCUUUUCCCACCGGAGCUUGCUCCACCGGGAAAAGAGGAGUGGCGAACGGGUGAGUAACACGUGGGUAACCUGCCCAUCAGAAGGGGAUAACACUUGGAAACAGGUGCUAAUACCGUAUAACAAUCGAAACCGCAUGGUUUCGUUUUGAAAGGCGCUUUACGGUGCCGCUGAUGGAUGGACCCGCGGUGCAUUAGCUAGUUGGUGAGGUAACGGCUCACCAAGGCCACGAUGCAUAGCCGACCUGAGAGGGUGAUCGGCCACAUUGGGACUGAGACACGGCCCAAACUCCUACGGGAGGCAGCAGUAGGGAAUCUUCGGCAAUGGACGAAAGUCUGACCGAGCAACGCCGCGUGAGUGAAGAAGGUUUUCGGAUCGUAAAACUCUGUUGUUAGAGAAGAACAAGGGUGAGAGUAUCUGUUCACCCCUUGACGGUAUCUAACCAGAAAGCCACGGCUAACUACGUGACAGCAGCCGCCGUAA
rnacentral:rRNA from 1 species